CUGCCUCCCUGAUGCAGGGCACCCUUGGGUGAGUCUCAAGGCACAUUCAUCUCCCUCACCCAUCCCCACAGACAAAUGUCAGCAGCACCAAGGUGGAUCCAAGUUUUAUAAAGCCUGGAACUUAUACAACUUAGGGGAUUCUCUUUAGGAAACAGAACACAAAAUUAUUAAUACAAAACUAGGUUAAAAGUGAAUAUUCGGCCAGGCGCGUUGGCUCACGCCUGUAAUCCCAGCACUUUGGGAGGCCGAGGUAGGCAGAUCACCUGAGAUCAGGAAUUCGAGACCAGCCUGGCCAACACGGUGAAACCCUAUCUCUACUAAAAACUACAAAAAUUAGCCAGGCAUGGUGGCGGGUGCCUGUAAUCCCAGCUACUUGGGAGGCUGAGGCAGGAAAAUCGUUUGAACCUGGGAGGCAGAGGUUGUUAUAACUAUAAGAAAAUUAUGACAGUGGCAGAGAGCUGAUCUAACCACCCCCCAUUUUGCCUUUAACCUGGGUGCAAUUGCAUGAUCUCGGCUCACUGCAACCUCCACCUCCCGGGUUCAAAUGAGUCUCCUGCCUUAGUCUCCUGAGUAGCUGGGAUUACAGGCACCUGCCACCACGCCCAGCUAAAUUUUUAUUUUUAGUAGAGACAGGGUUUCACCACAUUGGCCAGGCUGGUCUUGAACUCCUGACCUCAGGUGAUCCGCCCACCUCGGCCUCCCAAAGUGCUGGGAUUACAGGCAUGAGCCACCGCGCCGGGCCACCACUUGACUAUUACAAUUGUCUUCUGCUGAGGUCAUUCUUUG
rnacentral:lncRNA from 10 species